UCAUAAGCAUAAUUUAUAUUGAAGUGCGGAAAUAUAAUGAUAUUCAAGGAAUUCUGUUAAACUAAAUAAAAUGGAAUUCCCGAACUUUGAAUAUAAUAUUAUAACAAAACAUCUAUCAGACCCAGCUAACGAAGCCUGUAAUCAUAACUAAACUGUCUAGGCUGGAACAAGGCUCCGACGAUAUCAUGAAAACUGAAAAUACUGAAUGUCAAAAUGAAUUGCCUUUCGAAGAUGGAUGGUUCACCAACUUUGAUGUUUUUGGGAUAAUCCAUAUAGACACAUAAUUUUAUCCCUCCUGAAAGUGUAUUUUUAUCCAUUUACCCCGUCUUACCAUGCACCCUCAAUUAUGUGAUAAUGCCCCCUCCCACCCCCCUUAAAAGCCAAAUAAACAAAUUCAUAACCAUUUUUUUGACACCUUACUCUAAUAAAUUUAAUCUCAUCCUACCCACCCUAACCAUCCUACCUCACAUACCCCUACCCAUCUCAUGCACCGUACCCCUUCUCACAUUUUAUUCCCUUUUCUAACAAACUCACAAAAGACAAAAAAUAUAUAUACACAUCACGGAAUAUACGCACAGAUAGAAAACACACUCUAUACAUAUAUUCAUCACUCACACACAACAACGAAUCUACACACCACUCCCACAUACAGAAUACACACAUAUUCUCACCUGGACAAUAUGCACAAACACACAGAGUGAAGAAACUCACACAGACGCACAGUAAAUCGAGAGAGAGACUGAUGAUCGGAGAUAGAGAAAAUAGAGAGAAGGUGAUCAGAAAAAUAGCUGAAGGUAAGAGAGAUCGAGAGGAGAGGGAUUGAGCGAAAGCAGUGAAGAAUUAGAGGGAAAAGCAGAGAGAGAAACGGGAGCGAAAUCAGUUUGCACUACUCUGAAAUUCCGGCGAAAUUUCACCGGAAUCACUGUUCCAACCUUAAAUUCGACACACCCAACUCGCCAACAACCUUAUUCCCUCGCCGUAAACGUCCCAUCCCCAAAACCUGAUCGAAACUAGCUUCAACAUACUCCAAACCCCAUCGAAAAACCAAAACCUGGCAAAAAAUCCAACAAAACAGUCACCCCGUCCCCUUUCCGGCGAAUAUUCAUUUGAAAUUCAUUGGAAAACGAUAUGGAAUUGGUACUGGUCUUCUCCGCUUGUGAUUUCUGGUUCGAUUUUGGCGAGGAAAAGUAAAGGGGAUUAGAUCAAAGCUGGAUUUAUUUGUUUUGUUGAGGUUCAGUUCGAGAUUUUGGACGCGUUUUUAGCCGGAAGGAUUAUUCCAACUGAAAAAUAUUUGAGGUAUUCAUACUACCAAAGAAAAUUCUGCAGUUUAUUGAGAUGAUUUGCAAAAGGUUCCGAUGGACUGGAUCUGCUGAGAUAUCCAUAAACGCGCUUGUGGCUUGGGUACAAAAUAUGCACUCCUAUGGUAGCUUGUGGCUUGAACAUGAUUAAUGUCCAACUAUGGAAUAAAGCAGCAAUUUGCUAACUGCUCUGCGAUAUUUGCAUAAACAAGGAGAAGCUAUGAGUGGUGUGGGUGCACUCUUUUUUUUACAUAAAAACGGUUCUGUCUGGAACACAGUGCCCAGGACUGCAUCCUGGAUGAUCAUUAAGGCCGAGAAGUGUUUAGAAGAAGGGAUUACAAUGCAGGAGUUUAUGUGGAUGCAACAGUUCUCUAUUAAAUGUAUCAAGUACUGCAGGGAACCUAUCCUAAAGUUGGCUGGAGAAAGCUCAUUUGUAACAACUAAGGUCGUCCCAAAUGGAAGUUCAUACUUCAUACUAUGGUUAGCUAUUCAAGGAAGGCUGCAAACAAAGGACAGACUUGCUAUUCAAAGAAGGCUGCAAACAAAGGACAGACUUGCUAUUCAAAGAAGGCUGCAAACGAAGGACAGACUUGCUAAGUGGAAGGUAGAUUUGGACUUCACGAGUCCAUUGUGUGCAGGGAGAAUCAAUGCAACUCCUAUUUUUCACUUGUCCUGUAUUUGGUCAUAUCUGAAAAGAAUUCUUAGUUGGCAAGGCAUUCAAAGAAGCAAUAUAUGAUGGCUGGAAGAAGUGGCAUGUGCUCAAACUCAUUGUCGAGGCAAGUCUAAAGGUGUAUAUAUGAGUGUAAAGGUCCGGGGAAGUGUUUGACCACAAGGGUCUAUUGUAUGCAGCCUUACCUUGCAUUUCUGCGUGUUUCAAAAUGCAUCCUGGCCAGCAGAAGCAAUCGUCAAGAGGAUUAUUCAGGAGGUGUAUUUCAGAGCCAACUUAAUUCCAGCAUAUACUGCCUACCUAGCUAGAAUGGAAUCAUAUUCUGGAUAAUGGCUACUAGGAGCACGGAGGUCUAGAUAGCCUAGCUUUGGUGAGCAACUGGUCUGGGUCUUUUUUCGCUAGCCAGUGCACAAGUUUUUGCCUUCUUUAUGUUUAUUUCCUUCCCUUUCUUGGGAUGUAAAACCCAUUUGGGGAAUAAUGUAAGUUAGUCACCAAAGAAAAAAUUUUAAUUCAUCUUUUAUUAUCA